UUCUUUCCUCCUGGCUUGUUUCCGAGACAGGAGAGACAUGAAUGCACCUCCUCAAGCACUGGCUGUUUACACCUGGGUGCUGGAUCUGCUGGCCCUAAGCUACGGCUGUGUUUCUGGAACUCGAGCUUCGCAGCCUACUGCAGAAGGUUCUGACCGCUUCCCUUCUCCGGUCCUCCCCUAUGUUCUAAGCAUUUCGGGUCAGCAGCUGCUGCUGGCUGAUGUCGGUAACAGUUCACGGCGGCAGGAGAUGCUUCCGAGAGCUGACCAGACUCUGCGCUCCCACCUCUGACCUCCUUGCCGCACAAGUUCCUGUCCUGGCCUCACAGAGGGAUAUGGGUGCCUGCCACGGUGAUCCUCGCCCUGCACAUCCCCGCAGCAGAGAGCCACAGCCCCAGAGACCUGUCACCCACUCAGUGCCUCCCAACGGCUCUACGCCAGUCUUCCGUUCUCCUGUCACCUUUACUGUCACCCAUGUCUCUGGUCUCCAGACGUCACAGCGUCAGCGGGUCUGCCCCGCCUGCAUUUCCUACCUAAUCAGGAUGUCACAGUUGUGUCUGCAUUGA
rnacentral:lncRNA from 1 species